rnacentral:rRNA from 1 species
UGAGCAUGGCAUGAUACGUCAUUUGCUGUGUGUGGGCGGCCGGUUGGAGAGGUGUCUGCUUUACCAGCCCUUUUUUAAUUCUGGUCUCAAAUCAGGUAGGAUCACCCGCUGAACUUAAGCAUAUCAAUAAGCGGGAGGA